rnacentral:misc_RNA from 1 species
GAAACGCGAUAGGUAAUGUGAAUUGCAGAAUUCCGUGAAUCAUCGAAUCUUUGAACGCACAUUGCGCCUUCCGGUAUUCCGGGAAGCAUGUCUGUUUGAGCGUCAGCAAAACCCUUCGUUAGAACUUUUGUUUUAGCGGCGUUGGGCCUGGAGGAUGGGUGCUUAGGUACUCGCUCCGGCCUUAAACUUGCUGCACGACCGCGAGCUUUUUUCGAGUCAGGUCAAUGGAGUGGUGUUAAUUUAUCUAUCCAUAUACUGUACCGGAUGCUGCUCAGUGGCGUUAAACAUGUUGACUCUCAUGAGUCGACUGAAGUUUGACCUCAAAUCAGAUAAGGAUACCCGCUGAACUUAA